rnacentral:rRNA from 1 species
AUACGUAGGGGGCGAGCGUUGUCCGGAAUGAUUGGGCGUAAAGGGCGCGUAGGCGGCCUGUUAAGUCUGGAGUGAAAGUCCUGUUUUCAAGAUGGGAAUUGCUUUGGAUACUGAUGGGCUUGAGUGCAGGAGAGGUUAUCGGAAUUCACGGUGUAGCGGUGAAAUGCGUAGAGAUCGGGAGGAACACCAGUGGCGAAGGCGGGUAACUGGACUGCAACUGACGCUGAGGCGCGAAAGUGUGGGGAGCAAACAGGAUUAGAUACCCUGGUAGUCCACACUGUAAACGAUGAAUGCUAGGUGUAGGGGGUAUCGACUCCCUCUGUGCCGCAGUUAACACAAUAAGUAUUCCGCCUGGGGAGUACGGCCGCAAGGUUGAAACUCAAAGGAAUUGACGGGG